rnacentral:rRNA from 1 species
GAGUUUGAUCCUGGCUCAGGAUGAACGCUAGCGGCAGGCCUAACACAUGCAAGUCGAGGGGUAACAUAGUUUGCUUGCAAACUGAUGACGACCGGCGCACGGGUGCGGAACGCGUAUGGAACCUGCCCCUGUCAGGGGAAUAGCCCAGGGAAACUUGGAUUAAUGCCCCAUGGUAUCGUUUUAUCGCAUGAUAAGGUGAUUAAAGAUUUAUCGGACAGGGAUGGCCAUGCGUACCAUUAGUUAGAUGGUGGGGUAACGGCCCACCAUGGCAGCGAUGGUUAGGGGCCCUGAGAGGGGGAUCCCCCACACUGGUACUGAGACACGGACCAGACUCCUACGGGAGGCAGCAGUGAGGAAUAUUGGACAAUGGGCGGGAGCCUGAUCCAGCCAUGCCGCGUGCAGGAUGACGGCCCUAUGGGUUGUAAACUGCUUUUAUACGGGAAGAAACGCACCUACGUGUAGGUGUCUGACGGUACCGUAAGAAUAAGGACCGGCUAACUCCGUGCCAGCAGCCGCGGUAAUACGGAGGGUCCGAGCGUUAUCCGGAAUCAUUGGGUUUAAAGGGUCCGUAGGCGGGCAUGUAAGUCAGGGGUGAAAGUUUGUGGCUCAACCAUAAAAUUGCCUUUGAUACUGCAUGUCUUGAGUCAUGGUGGGGUUGCCGGAACAUGUGGUGUAGCGGUGAAAUGCAUAGAUAUCACAUAGAACACCGAUCGCGAAGGCAGGUGACCAACCAUGUACUGACGCUGAUGGACGAAAGCGGGGGUAGCGAACGGGAUUAGAUACCCCGGUAGUCCACGCCGUAAACGAUGGAUACUAGCUGUGGGGACUUCGGUCUCCGUGGCCAAGCGAAAGUGAUAAGUAUCCCACCUGGGGAGUACGUUCGCAAGAAUGAAACUCAAAGGAAUUGACGGGGGCCCGCACAAGCGGUGGAGCAUGUGGUUUAAUUCGAUGAUACGCGAGGAACCUUACCAGGGCUUAAAUGCAGGCUGCAUGGGGUAGAGAUACCCCUUUCUUCGGACUGCCUGCAAGGUGCUGCAUGGUUGUCGUCAGCUCGUGCCGUGAGGUGUCAGGUUAAGUCCUAUAACGAGCGCAACC